rnacentral:lncRNA from 1 species
GGCCGGCAGCACACAUCCGGUUUCCGGAUACGGUUUCCUGAUCAGGAAUUCAGAUUCGGGAUUCCGUGUCACUAGCGCACACAUUCAGUUUUUUUAAUUCUGAAUUUACAUGGCCAGUACGUAUAGAGCCACUUAAGUGAAAACACGCAUCAUGGAGGAUGACGAGUUAAUUGCGAUUGCACUCUUACUUUCGUUAAAAAAGAAAAAAAUUAAGCGGCUUUACUGGCAAGUGACAAGCGGGCUCUGAUACACGUCCAUUCGGAACAGGGCUACCUUGAUUCAGAAUGAAAAUUUCCGUAUGUGUGCGGCGGUCGAACCAAAUUGUUCGCGAGCGCUGCGUUCGGAAUGACGUCAUCAGGUUUUAUUCCGUUCUGAGUACCAGAACGCACGGAGAAAAUUUUAAACCGAAUGUCAGGUUUUUUUCCGUCCGGAAAAAGUAAGAACGUGUGCGCUCUUGUGAACAUUUUGUAUGAAAAAAGAGCAUUCCGGUUUCCGAAUCAGGAUUCCUGAUCAGGAAACCGGAUCAGGAAACCGGAUGUGUGCUGCCGGCCUAAAGUAGGCCGGCAGCACACAUCCGGUUUCCGGAUACGGUUUCCUGAUCAGGAAUUAAGAUUCGGGAUUCCGUGUCACUAGCGCACACAUUCGGGCUACCUUGAUUCAGAAUGAAAAUUUCCGUAUGUGUGCGGCGGUCAAACCAAAUUGUUCGCGAGCGCUGCGUUCGGAAUGACGUCAUCAGGUUUUAUUCCGUUCUGAGUACCCGAACGCACGGAGA